GACGAACGCUGGCGGCGUGCUUAACACAUGCAAGUCGAACGGAAAGGCCCUGCUUUUGUGGGGUGCUCGAGUGGCGAACGGGUGAGUAACACGUGAGUAACCUGCCCUUGACUUUGGGAUAACUUCAGGAAACUGGGGCUAAUACCGGAUAGGAGCUCCUGCUGCAUGGUGGGGGUUGGAAAGUUUCGGCGGUUGGGGAUGGACUCGCGGCUUAUCAGCUUGUUGGUGGGGUAGUGGCUUACCAAGGCUUUGACGGGUAGCCGGCCUGAGAGGGUGACCGGCGACAUUGGGACUGAGAUACGGCCCAGACUCCUACGGGAGGCAGCAGUGGAGAAUAUUGCACAAUGGGCGGAAGCCUGAUGCAGCAACGCCGCGUGCGGGAUGACGGCCUUCGGGUUGUAAACCGCUUUCGCCUGUGACGAAGCGUGAGUGACGGUAAUGGGUAAAGAAGCACCGGCUAACUACGUG
rnacentral:rRNA from 1 species